UACGAAGGGGGCUAGCGUUGCUCGGAAUCACUGGGCGUAAAGCGCACGUAGGCGGAUCUUUAAGUCAGGGGUGAAAUCCUGGAGCUCAACUCCAGAACUGCCUUUGAUACUGGGGAUCUCGAGUCCGGAAGAGGUGAGUGGAACUCCGAGUGUAGAGGUGAAAUUCGUAGAUAUUCGGAAGAACACCAGUGGCGAAGGCGGCUCACUGGUCCGGUACUGACGCUGAGGUGCAAAAGCGUGGGGAGCAAACAGG
rnacentral:rRNA from 1 species